GAUGAACGCUGGCGGCGUGCCUAAUACAUGCCAGUCGAGCGAACAGAUGAGGAGCUUGCUCCUCUGACGUUAGCGGCGGACGGGUGAGUAACACGUGGAUAACCUACCUAUAAGACUGGGAUAACUUCGGGAAACCGGAGCUAAUACCGGAUAAUAUAUUGAACCGCAUGGUUCAAUAGUGAAAGACGGUUUUGCUGUCACUUAUAGAUGGAUCCGCGCCGCAUUAGCUAGUUGGUAAGGUAACGGCUUACCAAGGCAACGAUGCGUAGCCGACCUGAGAGGGUGAUCGGCCACACUGGAACUGAGACACGGUCCAGACUCCUACGGGAGGCAGCAGUAGGGAAUCUUCCGCAAUGGGCGAAAGCCUGGCGGAGCAACGCCGCGUGAGUGAUGAAGGUCUUCGGAUCGUAAAACUCUGUUAUUAGGGAAGAACAAAUGUGUAAGUAACUAUGCACGUCUUGACGGUACCUAAUCAGAAAGCCACGGCUAACUACGUG
rnacentral:rRNA from 1 species